UUUUUAUUAUUAUUAUGAAGGAACAUAGUGCUUUUGAGAGCGUGCGUGUUGCAAUAGAUCAGCUCUUCCUGAUUUGGCUUUUAAUAUGCAAUGGCAAACUUUGUA